rnacentral:rRNA from 1 species
AGACCCGAAACCCGGUGAUCUAGCCAUGGGCAGGUUGAAGGUUGGGUAACACUAACUGGAGGACCGAACCGACUAAUGUUGAAAAAUUAGCGGAUGACCUGUGGCUGGGGGUGAAAGGCCAAUCAAACCGGGAGAUAGCUGGUUCUCCCCGAAAGCUAUUUAGGUAGCGCCUCGUGAAUUCAUCUCCGGGGGUAGAGCACUGUUUCGGCUAGGGGGCCAUCCCGGCUUACCAACCCGAUGCAAACUGCGAAUACCGGAGAAUGUUAUCACGGGAGACACACGGCGGGUGCUAACGUCCGUCGUGAAGAGGGAAACAACCCAGACCGCCAGCUAAGGUCCCAAAGUCAUGGUUAAGUGGGAAACGAUGUGGGAAGGCCCAGACAGCCAGGAUGUUGGCUUAGAAGCAGCCAUCAUUUAAAGAAAGCGUAAUAGCUCACUGGUCGAGUCGGCCUGCGCGGAAGAUGUAACGGGGCUAAACCAUGCACCGAAGCUGCGGCAGCGACACUAUGUGUUGUUGGGUAGGGGAGCGUUCUGUAAGCCUGUGAAGGUGUGUCGUGAGGCAUGCUGGAGGUAUCAGAAGUGCGAAUGCUGACAUAAGUAACGAUAAAGCGGGUGAAAAGCCCGCUCGCCGGAAGACCAAGGGUUCCUGUCCAACGUUAAUCGGGGCAGGGUGAGUCGACCCCUAAGGCGAGGCCGAAAGGCGUAGUCGAUGGGAAACGGGUUAAUAUUCCCGUACUUGGUGUUACUGCGAAGGGGGGACGGAGAAGGCUAUGUUGGCCGGGCGACGGUUGUCCCGGUUUAAGCGUGUAGGUGUGUGUUCCAGGUAAAUCCGGUUCACUUUAACACUGAGGCGUGACGACGAGGCACUACGGUGCUGAAGCAACAAAUGCCCUGCUUCCAGGAAAAGCCUCUAAGCAUCAGGUAACAUCAAAUCGUACCCCAAACCGACACAGGUGGUCAGGUAGAGAAUACCAAGGCGCUUGAGAGAACUCGGGUGAAGGAACUAGGCAAAAUGGUGCCGUAACUUCGGGAGAAGGCACGCUGACACGUAGGUGAAGUGAUUUACUCAUGGAGCUGAAGUCAGUCGAAGAUACCAGCUGGCUGCAACUGUUUAUUAAAAACACAGCACUGUGCAAACACGAAAGUGGACGUAUACGGUGUGACGCCUGCCCGGUGCCGGAAGGUUAAUUGAUGGGGUCAGCGCAAGCGAAGCUCCUGAUCGAAGCCCCGGUAAACGGCGGCCGUAACUAUAACGGUCCUAAGGUAGCGAAAUUCCUUGUCGGGUAAGUUCCGACCUGCACGAAUGGCGUAAUGAUGGCCAGGCUGUCUCCACCCGAGACUCAGUGAAAUUGAACUCGCUGUGAAGAUGCAGUGUACCCGCGGCAAGACGGAAAGACCCCGUGAACCUUUACUAUAGCUUGACACUGAACAUUGAGCCUUGAUGUGUAGGAUAGGUGGGAGGCUUUGAAGUGUGGACGCCAGUCUGCAUGGAGCCGACCUUGAAAUACCACCCUUUAAUGUUUGAUGUUCUAACGUGGACCCGUGAUCCGGGUUGCGGACAGUGUCUGGUGGGUAGUUUGACUGGGGCGGUCUCCUCCUAAAGAGUAACGGAGGAGCACGAAGGUUGGCUAAUCCUGGUCGGACAUCAGGAGGUUAGUGCAAUGGCAUAAGCCAGCUUGACUGCGAGCGUGACGGCGCGAGCAGGUGCGAAAGCAGGUCAUAGUGAUCCGGUGGUUCUGAAUGGAAGGGCCAUCGCUCAACGGAUAAAAGGUACUCCGGGGAUAACAGGCUGAUACCGCCCAAGAGUUCAUAUCGACGGCGGUGUUUGGCACCUCGAUGUCGGCUCAUCACAUCCUGGGGCUGAAGUAGGUCCCAAGGGUAUGGCUGUUCGCCAUUUAAAGUGGUACGCGAGCUGGGUUUAGAACGUCGUGAGACAGUUCGGUCCCUAUCUGCCGUGGGCGCUGGAGAACUGAGGGGGGCUGCUCCUAGUACGAGAGGACCGGAGUGGACGCAUCACUGGUGUUCGGGUUGUCAUGCCAAUGGCACUGCCCGGUAGCUAAAUGCGGAAGAGAUAAGUGCUGAAAGCAUCUAAGCACGAAACUUGCCCCGAGAUGAGUUCUCCCUGAGACUUAAAGUCUCCUGAAGGAACGUUGAAGACGACGACGUUGAUAGGCCGGGUGUGUAAGCGCAGCGAUGCGUUGAGCUAACCGGUACUAAUGAACCGUGAGGCUUAACCUUACAACGCCGAAG